CAGUAGCCGCGGGAAUACGUAGGGUGCAAGCGUUGUCCGGAUUUACUGGGCGUAAAGAGCUCGUAGGUGGUGUGUCGCGUCGUCUGUGAAAUUCCGGGGCUUAACUCCGGGCGUGCAGGCGAUACGGGCACGACUAGAGUGCUGUAGGGGUAACUGGAAUUCCUGGUGUAGCGGUGAAAUGCGCAGAUAUCAGGAGGAACACCGAUGGCGAAGGCAGGUUACUGGGCAGUUACUGACGCUGAGGAGCGAAAGCAUGGGGAGCGAACAGGAUUAGAUACCCCAGUAGUCCCUGUCUCUUAUA
rnacentral:rRNA from 1 species